rnacentral:rRNA from 1 species
GUGGGGAAUAUUGCACAAUGGGCGAAAGCCUGAUGCAGCAACGCCGCGUGAAGGAAGAAGACCCUUGGGUCGUAAACUUCUGUUCUAAGGGAAGAUAAUGACGGUACCUUAGGAGCAAGUCCCGGCUAACUACGUGCCAGCAGCCGCGGUAAUACGUAGGGGGCGAGCGUUAUCCGUAAUUAUUGGGCGUAAAGAGUACGUAGGUGGUUAUCUAAGCGAGGGGUUUAAGGCAAUAGCUCAACUAUUGUUUGCCCCGCGAACUGGGUGACUUGAGUGCUGGAGAGGAAAGCGGAAUUCCUAGUGUAGCGGUGAAAUGCGUAGAUAUUAGGAGGAACAUCAGUGGCGAAGGCGGCUUUCUGGACAGUAACUGACACUGAGGUACGAAAGUGUGGGGAGCAAACAGGAUUAGAUACCCGAGUAGUCC